GCUUUUGAAAAGCAAUUCAACUACAAAAAAAAAACCACCAAGGUUCCAACAAGGCCUUACAUAUCCGUUUGAAGUAAUAAUCAAAGUUAGAGUCGAUUAGAGGUUCAACAAUCCCGAUUUGGAGGCAGUUGGGACCUAGAUUGAGUCGCACACAU